rnacentral:rRNA from 1 species
GGGUGAUCGGCCACACUGGGACUGAGACACGGCCCAGACUCCUACGGGAGGCAGCAGUAGGGAAUCUUCGGCAAUGGACGAAAGUCUGACCGAGCAACGCCGCGUGAGUGAAGAAGGUUUUCGGAUCGUAAAACUCUGUUGUUAGAGAAGAACAAGGACGUUAGUAACUGAACGUCCCCUGACGGUAUCUAACCAGAAAGCCACGGCUAACUACGUGCCAGCAGCCGCGGUAAUACGUAGGUGGCAAGCGUUGUCCGGAUUUAUUGGGCGUAAAGCGAGCGCAGGCGGUUUCUUAAGUCUGAUGUGAAAGCCCCCGGC